CCAUCAAUAUCAAGGAUGACAAGCCGGUUGAUGUAGAUGAACAGAAGAUUAAGGUAGAACUGGAACUGAAGAAUAAAUCGGUUGAUAAAGAGCAUACAAAAUCUAAGGAAGAGAAAAAACAUAAAGAUGAAGAUAAAUCAAAGAAAGCGAAGGAAAAAAAGGGAGAAAAGGAAGACGAAGAAGGAGAAAAGAAAGGCAAAGAUUUGAAAGCUAAAGGGAAGGAUGGUGAAGAGAAAAAGGAAAAAGAUAAGAAGAAAAAGGAAAAGGGGAAAGAAGAUGAUGAAGAGAAGAAGGAAAAGAAGAAGGAAAAGGAUGACAAAAUUGAUGUAGAAAAUGAUAAGGAUGGAAAAGAUGAUGGGGAGGAUGGUGAAAAGAAGAACAAGGAGAAGAAGAAAAAGGAAAAGAAGGACAAAGAAAACGAAGGAAAUGACGAUGAAGAGAAGAAGAAAAAGAAAGAGAAGGAGAAGAAAAAGGAAAAGAAGAACAAGGAUGAAGAAACAGACGCAUCAAAGGAAAAGGGAAAAGAUGAUGAAGUUGAGGAUGAAGAAGAAAAUCAGAAAAAGAAGAAAAAGGAUAAGAAGGAGAAGAAGGAGAAAGACAAGGAUCACAAAAAGGAAAAGAAGGAGGGUGGGAAAGAUGAUGGCAAGGUUGAAGUUUCUGUAAGGGAUAUUGAUAUAGAAGAAAUCACAAAGGAAGGUGAAAAGGAAGACAAAGAAAAAGACGGUGGGAAGGAAGUGAAAGAGAAGAAGAAAAAAGAAGACAAAGAC
rnacentral:lncRNA from 1 species